rnacentral:rRNA from 1 species
GAUGAACGCUGGCGGCGUGCCUAAUACAUGCAAGUCGAGCGAACGGACGAGAAGCUUGCUUCUCUGAUGUUAGCGGCGGACGGGUGAGUAACACGUGGAUAACCUACCUAUAAGACUGGGAUAACUUCGGGAAACCGGAGCUAAUACCGGAUAAUAUUUUGAACCGCAUGGUUCAAAAGUGAAAGACGGUCUUGCUGUCACUUAUAGAUGGAUCCGCGAUGCAUUAGCUAGUUGGUAAGGUAACGGCUUACCAAGGCAACGAUGCAUAGCCGACCUGAGAGGGUGAUCGGCCACACUGGAACUGAGACACGGUCCAGACUCCUACGGGAGGCAGCAGUAGGGAAUCUUCCGCAAUGGGCGAAAGCCUGACGGAGCAACGCCGCGCGAGUGAUGAAGGUCUUCGGAUCGUAAAACUCUGUUAUUAGGGAAGAACAUAUGUGUAAGUAACUGUGCACAUCUUGACGGUACCUAAUCAGAAAGCCACGGCUAACUACGUG